CUUUUUCUUCUACCGCCGUGCAUUAUCUCACAUGUCCUCUCUCUUGCUAUCUCUCACGCUCUCCCACAACCCUUUUGCAGGUGAAGAUUAGAGCGAAUCUUUCGGGGUUCAUCGCUUAUACCGAGGUGAAAGGUGAAGCAGAUCAAGUGGUAGACUUGGUAGUUGCAAGAGACGCGAUGCUUUAGAUUUUUAUUUUUAUGAGUUCAGUAUUUUUAGACUUAUGUUAGAAUUUCAUUAUUGAGACUUCCGAUGCAGAUUUUGAGAUGAUAGUAUGGUAUUAAGAAUAAACCGAAUCUUUCUUUUUAAAACCUAA